rnacentral:rRNA from 1 species
GAUGAACGCUGGCGGCGUGCCUAAUACAUGCAAGUCGAGCGAACAGACGAGGAGCUUGCUCCUCUGACGUUAGCGGCGGACGGGUGAGUAACACGUGGAUAACCUACCUAUAAGACUGGGAUAACUUCGGGAAACCGGAGCUAAUACCGGAUAAUAUAUUGAACCGCAUGGUUCAAUAGUGAAAGACGGUUUUGCUGUCACUUAUAGAUGGAUCCGCGCCGCAUUAGCUAGUUGGUAAGGUAACGGCUUACCAAGGCAACGAUGCGUAGCUGACCUGAGAGGGUGAUCGGCCACACUGGAACUGAGACACGGUCCAGACUCUUACGGGAGGCAGCAGUAGGGAAUCUUCCGCAAUGGGCGAAAGCCUGACGGAGCAACGCCGCGUGAGUGAUGAAGGUCUUCGGAUCGUAAAACUCUGUUAUUAGGGAAGAACAAAUGUGUAAGUAACUAUGCACGUCUUGACGGUACCUAAUCAGAAAGCCACGGCUAACUACGUG